rnacentral:misc_RNA from 1 species
GAUGAAGAACGUAGCGAAAUGCGAUAAGUAAUGCGAAUUGCAGAAUUCCGUGAGUCAUCGAAUCUUUGAACGCACAUUGCGCCCUCUGGUAUUCCGGAGGGCAUGCCUGUCUGAGCGUCAUUGUCAACCCUCAAGCUCAGCUUGCUGUUGGGUCCCCGUCGUUGCUUUAACGGCGGACCCGAAAGGUAAUGGCAGAGUCCGUGAGACCCUAGACGCAGCGAGCUUCUAGCACGCGUCUGGACGUUUUUCGGGAUCGGUCUUAACUAGAUGAUAACUUCCGAUUGACCUCAGAUCAGGUAGGGAUACCCGCUGAACUUAAGCAUAUCAAUAAGCGGAGGA